UUACAAAUAAAAACAAAAAUUUUUAUUCUUUUAUUUUAUUGGGUACAAUAUACCUCACAUAAAAUUUGCAUUUGAACCAUUUUUAAGUGUAAAGUUCAGUGGUAUUAAGCACAUACUGUUUUGCAGUAUCACCACCAUCCAUCUACAGAAUUUUUUUUUUAUCUUUCCAAACAGAAAUUCUGUAACCAUGGAACAUUAACUCCCCAUUCCUACUCCCCCAGCCCCUGGCCACCACUUUUACUUUCUGUCUCUAUGAGUUUCACCACUUAAUGGUGUGUCACAGAAGUGGAAUCACACUGUAUUUGUUCUUUUGUGUUGGGCUUAUUGCACUUAGCAUAAUGCCUUCAAGAUUCAGUAGUAUUGUAGCCUGCAUCAGAAUUUCCUUUUGAAGGCUGAAUAAUAUUCCGUUGUAUGUAUUUACCCCAAAAUGAGCAAAAAAACACCCUUCGGAAAAAAAUAAAUAUUGGGCCACCUGGUAGCACGUCUGCCUUCGGUUCAGGUCAUGAUCUCAGGGUCCUGGGAUGGAGCCCUGCACAUCCCAUUGGGAAUCCCUGCUCAGUCUGCUUCUCCCUCUGCCCUUCCCCCAACUCAUACUCUCUCUUUCUCUCUCCCUCAAAUAAAUAUUUUUUCCAAAAGAAAAAUAAUAAAAGUUCUCACAGAAAAUCUUAGAAAGGGUGUGUGUGUGUGUGUGUGUGUGUGUGUGUGUGUAUUUAUAUGUACCUAGACAUAAAAAAUGCAACAAUCUUGAAAUGGUCAGAUAUCUGCAAAACAUUUCCUAACUCUCUGGGACUUGAUCACUCCUAUUAGAAUUCUUCCAUAAUUCCUUUCAGUUUCUUCUUUUAAAGUACACCACACCAUCACACAUUAGAUUAUACUUGCUGACGUACUGUAAAAUCAUCAACUUCUUCUGGAUUGAAAUUAAGGAUUAGCCUUCUUUGUGUCUGCCCUAGCCUACACCACAGGACUUGGCCCCAAACAAGCCAUCAACCAGCAACUGGAAUAAAGGAAAGCAAAAAAAAAGAAUCCUCAUUAUCUUCAGGAUAUCCUGGAAAAUUAUUUCCAGUUAAUAAAAGUUUCUUCUCAUUAAGAAAACAACAUUUGGCAGUGGGUUUGUCUAAUAAUUUACGUAUGUAUGGUUUAUAUUUCAAAGGAGAUAUCAAAUUUUGUGAACAGUCACGUAACAAUCAUUAAAUGCCAAGCACUAUGCCAGGCACUUAUGCAGAUUUUACCAUUUAAAGUAGGCAUAGGCAAUAUGAAAUACAGGAUGUGUUGUUGCCAUUUUAUAGACAGGGCCAUAGUGUUUAAUUGCACAACAGGACAAAAAGUGAUGGAGUCUGAAUUCCAGUCUGUCUGAUGUCCAGAUCUGUGUUGUUCACCCCUCGUCUACUCUAGGUUUCAUUAGGGGUAUUCGAAGAAGUCCGUGUGUUCACAGACUAUGAGAAGUCAGGCAAGGUGUCAAAUGUGGAUUUUAGGUUCACAGGCAUCUUUCUACGAGUUUGGUUGCCUUUAAGAACUGUAUUUGUGGGAGAAAACACAUCAAGAACUGCCAAGAAUCUGGUUGCCUACAGGUGCCCUCACCUUUGCAAUCCAGAGAAGUGAAAUGAGCAUGGAAAGAAGAUAGUUCAAUAAGUAAGGAUAGAUUCAAUAUGGAAACCAAACUGUUGAUCCAAACAGUCUGAGGAUACUUAAAUAUGCCCCUCCUUCAGCUGCUGACAUGGAGUGGGACCUAGUACCUGAUGACAACAUGGGAGACAGACAUCCUCAGUAUGUGUUUGAUGGAGGAGUGAAUUGUUACAACCCUUUGGAUAAAAAGUAUGCAAUAUAUAUUGAAAUAGGAAGUAUCUGCGAUUCAGUGGUCCCACCACUGGAAAUCUCCUUGUGGAUAUAAAAGUAUUAUAUGAUAAAGAUAUGCACAUAAGGAUGUUUAUUGCUGUGCUAUUGGUUGUGAUAAAAGCCUAGAUCAAUUUACAUGUUGAUCAAUAAUGGAACAAGUGGUUCUAUAGUAGGGUCAUCUAUUCUACGGAGUUAGCUGUUAAAAGACUGAGUUAGGUCUCUGCCUAUUGACCUGGCCAGAUAAUACACUGUAAAGUGAAUAAAGCAAUGGUCUGGUAAUAUGUUAGAAUUCAUGUUAAAAAAGUACACCAAAAAAGCAAACUAGCUAUGUUUUUAUAAGUAUAAAGUUAGAGUGAUACACAACUCAGGCAGUUAAACUGGUUACUGUAAGUGGAGUAAGUGGAGUAGAAAUUGGGAAGUGUAGGAAGAAACUUUCUGUCCAUAUGCUUUUUUUGGAUUAUGUCAUUUGUUACAAUGGCACACACUGCUUUUACAGUAUGAAAGAUUAAUUGAGAAAACACAUAUUCUUCAAGUGAUUUUUCAUAAACAAAGAUGAUUAAUCUUACAGUUUUAACUGCUUUAAGUGGUUAUAAAAAGAAAAAUCCCCAAGAUUGAGUCUUUUUUUUCUAACUCUUCAUCCAGCCUUGAUUUUAUCUGGUGAAGCGCCCAUCUGCCUUCUUUUGGAAUCUAUAUUUCUCACUGAAGUCUUACAAAUGUGCUACAAUAAGUACUACCAACAAAUCCACAUUUACAUGAUAUUGCAUCCCUGUGAUACUUUCUGGCCUCGUACAUAUUGUAGUUUGUGAUUAGUCUCUAAUUAUCGUAUCUCUCUGUUUUAGGCAGAUCCUUGUGUGCAGUGACUGCUUUAUUCCUGUUUUACCCUCAGCAUCC
rnacentral:lncRNA from 1 species